rnacentral:rRNA from 1 species
GUUUUAGUUCCUGAAUACUGCUGUGGAAAGUUUGGUGAACCUUAACACUUAGAGGAAGGAGAAGUCGUAACAAGGUUUCCGUAGGUGAACCUGCGGAAGGAUCAUUC